CCUACGGGAGGCAGCAGUGGGGAAUAUUGCACAAUGGGCGCAAGCCUGAUGCAGCCAUGCCGCGUGUGUGAAGAAGGCCUUCGGGUUGUAAAGCACUUUCAGCGGGGAGGAAGGCGGUGAGGUUAAUAACCUCAUCGAUUGACGUUACCCGCAGAAGAAGCACCGGCUAACUCCGUGCCAGCAGCCGCGGUAAUACGGAGGGUGCAAGCGUUAAUCGGAAUUACUGGGCGUAAAGCGCACGCAGGCGGUCUGUCAAGUCGGAUGUGAAAUCUCCGGGCUCAACCUGGGAACUGCAUUCGAAACUGGCAGGCUAGAGUCUUGUAGAGGGGGGUAGAAUUCCAGGUGUAGCGGUGAAAUGCGUAGAGAUCUGGAGGAAUACCGGUGGCGAAGGCGGCCCCCUGGACAAAGACUGACGCUCAGGUGCGAAAGCGUGGGGAGCAAACAGGAUUAGAUACCCGUGUAGUC
rnacentral:rRNA from 1 species